UGGUUCCCAGAGAGUGCAUUUAAUAUUUUGCUUAUCUGCAUUUCUUUGCAGAUUUCUUUGCAGAUUUCUUUGAGGUGUUUAUGCCCAAAUACAAGGUCAAUUUCUGUGAAGGUACCAUGCAGAGCUGUGAGAAAAAAAAACAGGUACAUUUUUUGGUUGUCUUUCAGUAUUCUUCAGAAGCCAAACACUCACUUUUCUAAAAUGCCACACAUCUCCUCAAAUUCUUUUUUAGUUAUUUUAUGAUUACAUUUAUCUAAGGCUGUCAAUGAUGAAAUUGAGGGGCUCCACUGUUAAUGCUUUCCUGGUCAUUUAGCUUUUCCUUCAAGUAUUUGGAUGUUGUACCAUUUGAUGUAUAUGUGUUCAGUACUGGUAUUAAUUCAUUUUCUAUGGCAGCUUUAAGCAAAAUGUAGUGUCCCUGAACAUUUCUUUGAAUUGAGUCUAUUUGUACUCUUCCUUUGUCUGAGAUAAUGAUUGCUAACUCUGCCUGUUUUACUUCUCUUGAAACACACUAGAUUCUUAUUUUUACUACGUGUAUCUUUGUGUUUCAUGUCUUUGUCGUAAGCAAUAUAUUGCCAAUCGUAAGUUGGGUUCUGAUUUCUAAUUGAUUCAUCUAUCCUCUACCAUUUUAUGAGUGAGUUCAUUCAUUCACAUUCAUAAUUAGAACUGCUAAUAGUAUCUUUAACUCCCUACUAUUCUUUACUCUUUGUGCUUCUUUCUCUCUCUUUUUUUCACCCUGGAUAGAAAAUAAUAGCAAUAUGAAGUAAGAGUACAAAAGUCUGUUUUGCUUCUAACCACUGCAUCUCUUAAUCUUUAAUGCUUCUUAUUAAAUUCCUCUACCCCAUGGUCCCUUGACCACCUACAUCUUUGUUGGAAAAUACAGAUGAAUUUCUAAACCCAACUUUGUGUGCAGAUAUAUUCUUCCCUCACUAAACCAGUUCAGAUAUGAAUGAAGGUCAGUUAUUGUCACUUUCUGCCCCUUAUUUUUUCUUCCAUUUUACACACUCUUCUAUGAGUGUCUCACUUAUGUGAGAGAAAUGUCUAUGUUCUUAUUCUUCUGUCUCCCUUUUCCCCAGUCUUCCUUGUUUUUACACUUCCUUUCUUUUUUGGAGUUCAUCGUAACACAACCAUAUUAAUUUUGUAUGCUCAGGUUUCCUUUUCUUUGCUCAUGUUUCUAGCCUAUAUAUUCAUUUUGGAUUUUAUGUUUGAAUGUGACUUUGCAUUCCUAUGGACAGGAGGACUAGACGGAGUGUCUGUGUUUUAUGUACGUCUGCUUUCAUAAGAUAAUCUAGGCAUCUGUGAGUUGGUUUUUUUUUUUGGCUCAUGUUGUGAUAAUUAGAGUCUGGCUACUGUCCUCAUGAACUGGCUGUGGUCGCUACUGAGGUAGGACCCUCACUUCUCCAUGACCAUCAUCACUGCUUUCCACCUUGGACCUGUGACUCAGAACUGUGUAAUGGCUGAAGAAGUUUAAACAUGGCAAUUGAAUCAGUGCCCAGUGUUUGAAAAAGAAAAGGAAUCCUCUUAGUCCACUUUCCCAAAACUAGGCACCGAUUCCGCUGCCGCCACCACUACACACCUCACUGCUGCGUGCCUUCAAGCAACUUCUGGGGCCACACCUGCCAGGCCAAGAGCAACUGCCACUCCAGUGUCUUCACGCCUGUCUUCCAUCUUCAUCUUCUGUUCUGUGCUGGAAAAAGGACUCACUGUGAGUUUUGCUUAGUUUUCAGACUCAGAAAUCUGUUUAGUAUUUUUGGGGGCUCUCUUUGCGUAAGAGGGGAAAAAAGAAAUGUACUCCAAUGCAGUGGUUUUAAAAGGACAGCUUGUUUCACUUAUUAUUGUUCUAAUGAAUAAAUAGGCUGUGUUUGUGAAAAAACUAAGUACAGGUGAUUGACUAGGGAAACAAUUUCUGCUUUUCAGUAACUUAUAUGUCAUUUAAUAAACUAAAGCAGAUUAAGCAAAAAUGUAUUUUCAAUGAGUUACAGUUAACAUAAUUUUUUUUUAAUUGGGAUUCCAAAGUUUUUAAAAGCAAAAGAGAAAUCUGAAAAGAAGGAAAGUGCAUUUAAUAUUUUCAAGGAAUAAGGCUGGUGUAGAUAAAACUAUUAUUUAAAAAAAAUCAUCAUGAUUUAUUGACAAAAUUAGCUCACAAAAAUUCAAAAGAUAUAAUCUAUGGUUUUUAAAUAGGUACUGCUUAAACAUAGAUGUAAGUAAAUAUAUUUUUACUGGUGAAAUAAGUGAAAAAGAAAAAAAAAAAACAAAGUGUGAGUGUUUUUCUGUCCUUUGGUGACAGACAGCUGCAUUUAAAAAACAAUAAAAAAGUCUCUCUUUUGAAAAAUAGUAAAUCAGCACCAUGCUAGUGCUCUUUAGUAAAACCCAAGUCCUAAAACAGAAUCACUGAGAAAAAGAAAAAAAUAUGUGCCUUUGGCGAGAUGAUAAUUUAAAAUAUAUGUGCGUGUAUGUAUGUAAAUAUAUAAAUAUAUAUACACACAGACUUCUGCUGAAGUUUUCAUUCCUGUAAAUAUUUGACAAGAUCUUAUUUUGUGUUUCUUCAUUGUUCAGAAUCUCUUCUUACAAAGUACACAAUUUGUAAUUUUUAAAAAAUGGCCAAGAACAAUAUAUACUGUAAAACAGUUCAUGAAUACUAUUUAUUGAACUCAAUUUCCACCUUUUAUUGAUCUAAGCAUUUACCGUUAGAAAUGUUCCCUUAAGCAUUGUUUUGUCUCCAUCCCAUGUUUUGGUUCUCCUAUCUCAUUUUUGUCAUUUUCUUUAAUGAAAUUAUUAACACUUGCUAUCAUGGCUUCUUUGACCUGUUCUUUCUUUAGUAGGAGAUUAUUUGGUUUCCAAUUAAUUUUUAAUCUAUGCUUCAAAAGCCAUUUCUUGAAUGUAUUGUUCACUGCAUUAUGAUCCCCAAAGAGGGCAUUUAAUAUUUUACUCGUCUGCAUUUCUUUCUGAGAUGUUUAUGCCAAAUACAAGGUCAAUUUCUGUGAAGGUCACAUGCAGAGUUGUAGGAGAAAAAAAGAGAUACUAAUUUUUGCUGCUUUUCAGUAUUCUUCAGGAAUCAAGCUAAUCUCACAAUUCUGUAAUUCCACACAUCUCCUCAGAGUCUUUCUUGGGGAUUUUAUGAUUACAUUUAUCUAAGACUGUGAAGGACAAAAUUGAGGGACUUCACUCUUAAAGCUUUCCUAGCUUUUUCCCAUUGUAAGGCAUUUAACUUUUCCUUCAUGUAUUUGCAUGUUGUGCCAUUUGAUGCAUAUAUGUUUAGUAUUUAUAUUAAUUCAUUGCCUAUGGCAACUUUGAGCAAAAUGUAAUUUCACUGAACAUCUCUUUGAAUUGGGUCUAUUUGUACUUUUCCUUUUUCUGAGAUGAUGAUUGCUACCCAUGCCUGUUUUAAUUUUGAUGAACUAAAAUCUUCUUGUAAUUGUGUGUCUUUCUGUUUCAUGUCUCUGUUGUAGACAAUAUGUUUUGGGGUUCUGAUUUCUAAUCCAUUCUGUUAUCCUUUAUCUUCUUCUGUGCAAGUUUAUCCAUUCACAUAAAUAGUUAGAAUUGAUAAUAGUAUCUUUCCCUCUAUACCAUUCUUUACGAUUUAUGCUUUUCUCUCUCUUUCUUUCUCUCUCAUUUACCUUGGAUAAGAAAUAAUAGUAAUAUGAAUGAAGUAAUCAUACAAAAGUGUUUUACUUCUGACCAAUGCCUCUCUUAAACUUUACUAACUUCUAUUAGAGCCCCUCCCUCAGCCUCCUGGACCUUUAUCCUCCUGCAGCCAUUAGGGAAAUAAAGAUGUAUGUCUCUACCCAA